rnacentral:rRNA from 1 species
UACGUAGGGGGCGAGCGUUGUCCGGAAUGACUGGCGUAAAGGGCGUGUAGGCGGCUCUGUAAGUCUGGAGUGAAAGUCCUGCUUUCAAGGUGGGAAUUGCUUUGGAUACUGCGGAGCUAGAGUGCGGAAGAGGUAAGUGGAAUUCCCAGUGUAGCGGUGAAAUGCGUAGAGAUUGGGAGGAACACCAGUGGCGAAGGCGACUUACUGGGCCGUAGCUGACGCUGAGGCGCGAAAGCGUGGGGAGCGAACA